AUAUAGGUCAAGCUACAAAGGGCGCAUGGUGAAUGCCUUGGCAUCAGGAGCCGAUGAAGGACGUGAUAAGCUGCGAUAAGCUUCGGGUAGGCGCACAUAGCCUGAGAUCCGAAGAUCUCCGAAUGAGGAAACUCACAUGGGAAACCCCAUGUAUCAUUAAGUGAAUACAUAGCUUAAUGAAGGUAACCCAGGGAACUGAAACAUCUAAGUACCUGGAGGAAGAGAAAGAAAAAUCGAUUUUCUUAGUAGCGGCGAGCGAAAGGGAAAGAGCCCAAACCGGAAACUUGUUUCCGGGGUUGUGGACAUAACAUAAAAGUGGAGGCUAUUGUAACUGAAGAGAACUGGAAAGUUCCACCGUAGAAGGUAAUAGUCCUGUAAGUGAAACGAGAAGACCACGAGUUAUGAUCCAGAGUACCACGAGACACGUGAAACCUUGUGGGAAGCAGGGAGGACCACCUCCCAAGGCUAAAUACUACCUGAUGACCGAUAGUGAAGCAGUACCGUGAGGGAAAGGUGAAAAGAACCCCGGGAGGGGAGUGAAAUAGAACCUGAAACCGUGUGCCUACAACCGCUCAGAGCCCCUUAUGAGGGUGAUGAGGUGCUUUUUGUAGAACGAGCCAACGAGUUACGGUAUGUAGCAAGGUUAAGUACUUAAGGUACGGAGCCGAAGGGAAACCGAGUCUGAAUAGGGCGACUAGUUGCAUGCCGUAGACCCGAAACCGGGUGACCUAUCCAUGGCCAGGUUGAAGCGAGGGUAAAACCUCGUGGAGGACCGAACCACGUUGCUGUUGAAAAAGCAUGGGAUGAGCUGUGGAUAGCGGAGAAAUUCCAAUCGAACCCGGAGAUAGCUGGUUCUCUCCGAAAUAGCUUUAGGGCUAGCGUCGAGUAUGAGUAGUGGAGGUAGAGCACUGAAUGGGCUAGGGGGCAUAGCGCUUACCGAACCUUAUCAAACUCCGAAUGCCACAUACUUUGAGCUCGGCAGUCAGACUACGAAUGAUAAGAUCCGUGGUCAAAAGGGAAACAGCCCAGAUCGUCAGCUAAGGUCCCAAAGUGUAAGUUAAGUGGGAAAGGAUGUGAGAUUUCUAAGACAACUAGGAUGUUGGCUUAGAAGCAGCCAUUCAUUAAAAGAGUGCGUAAUAGCUCACUAGUCGAGAGAUCUUGCGCCGAAAAUGUAACGGGGCUAAACUUACCACCGAAGCUACGGGCUUGAACUUAGUUCAAGCGGUAGGAGAGCGUCGUAACCGGGCUGAAGUCGUACCGUAAGGAGCGGUGGACUGGUUACGAGUGAGAAUGUUGGCAUCAGUAGCGAGAUGUGGGUGAGAAUCCCACAGGCCGAAAACCUAAGGUUUCCUCAGGAAGGUUCGUCCGCUGAGGGUUAGUCGGGACCUAAGCCGAGGCCGAAAGGCGUAGGUGAUGGACAACUGGUUGAUAUUCCAGUACCACUACCAUCGUUAUUAUCGAUGGCGUGACGCAGGAGGAUAGUGUGUGCUAGCUAUUGGAUGCUAGUCUAAGCGUUUAGGCAGUGAGAGUAGGCAAAUCCGCUCUCAUAAUGCUGAGGCGUGAUGGGGAAGGUUCUACGGAACCGAAGUACAUGAUUCCACGCUGCCAAGAAAAGCGUCUAGAGAGAGAAGUAGUGCCCGUACCGCAAACCGACACAGGUAGGUGAGGAGAGAAUCCUAAGGCCGGCGGAAGAAUUACAGUUAAGGAACUCGGCAAAUUGACCCCGUAAGUUCGCGAGAAGGGGUGCCUACGAGAGUAGGCCGCAGAGAAUAGGCCCAAGCAACUGUUUAGCAAAAACACAGGUCUCUGCUAAAGCGUAAGCUGAUGUAUAGGGGCUGACGCCUGCCCGGUGCUGGAAGGUUAAGGGGAACACUUAGCGCAAGCGAAGGUGUGAACUUAAGCCCCAGUAAACGGCGGCCGUAACUAUAACGGUCCUAAGGUAGCGAAAUUCCUUGUCAGGUAAGUUCUGACCCGCACGAAUGGCGUAAUGACUUGGGCACUGUCUCAACUGUAAAUCCGGCGAAGUUGUAGUGCGAGUGAAGAUGCUCGCUACCCGCGAUUGGACGGAAAGACCCCGUAGAGCUUUACUGUAGCUUAGCAUUGAGUUUUGGUAUUGUCUGUACAGGAUAGGUGGGAGACUAGGAAACCAGGGCGUCAGCCUUGGUGGAGUCAACCUUGGGAUACCACCCUGACAGUACUGAAAUUCUAACUGGCGGCCAUGAAUCUGGUCACAGGACAUUGUUAGGUGGGCAGUUUGACUGGGGCGGUCGCCUCCUAAAAAGUAACGGAGGCGCCCAAAGGUUCCCUCAGAACGGUCGGAAAUCGUUCGAAGAGUGCAAAGGCAGAAGGGAGCCUGACUGCGACACCCACAAGUGGAGCAGGGACGAAAGUCGGGCUUAGUGAUCCGGUGGUACCUCGUGGGAGGGCCAUCGCUCAACGGAUAAAAGCUACCUCGGGGAUAACAGGCUGAUCUCCCCCAAGAGUCCACAUCGACGGGGAGGUUUGGCACCUCGAUGUCGGCUCGUCGCAUCCUGGGGCUGAAGUAGGUCCCAAGGGUUGGGCUGUUCGCCCAUUAAAGCGGCACGCGAGCUGGGUUCAGAACGUCGUGAGACAGUUCGGUCCCUAUCCGUCGCGGGCGUAGGAAAUUUGAGAGGAGCUGUCCUUAGUACGAGAGGACCGGGAUGGACUGACCUCUGGUGUACCAGUUGUUCCGCCAGGAGCACAGCUGGGUAGCUAAGUCGGGAAUGGAUAAACGCUGAAAGCAUCUAAGCGUGAAGCCAACCUCAAGAUGAGAUUUCCCAUAGCGUAAGCUAGUAAGAUCCCUUGAAGAACACAAGGUUGAUAGGUCGGGGGUGUAAGCAUGGUAACAUGUUCAGCUGACCGAUACUAAUAGAUCGAGGGCUUGACCAAAU
rnacentral:rRNA from 2 species